GCCGCCGCAGCGCCUGACGGGAGGCGGAGAACGAACGACGGUGUCGGCCAUUUUGUGUCGGCUUCGUGUGGGACGCGGUGGUG
rnacentral:pre_miRNA from 1 species